rnacentral:tRNA from 1 species
GGUCCUGUGGUGUAGAGGCAACAUUACCUGGUUGUCAACCAGGAGAACGAGGGUUCGAGUCCCUUCAGGAUCG